GAUGAACGCUGGCGGCGUGCCUAACACAUGCAAGUCGAGCGGAGAAUUGUUGCUUUCAACAAUUCUUCGCGGCGGACGGGCGAGUAACACGUGGGUAACCUGCCCUCAACAAAGGGAUAACAAUGAGAAAUAAUUGCUAAUACCGUAUAAGCUUACACUAUCGCCUGAUAGAGUAAGAAAAGAUUUAUCGGUUUAGGAGGGGCCCGCGUCUGAUUAGCUAGCUGGAGAGGUAACGGCUCACCAAGGCGACGAGAAGUAGCCGACCGGAGCGGAUGAUCGGCCACGUUUCGACUGAGACACAGCAGAAGCGCCUACGGGAGGAAGCAGGGGAGAAUAUUGCACAAAGGAGGAGUGUCUGAUGCAGCACCGCCGCUCGAAGGAAGAAGGUUUUCGGAUCGUAAACAUGUAUCUACAGCGAAGAAAAACAUGACGGUACCUGAGUAAGAAGCCCCGGCUAACUACGUG
rnacentral:rRNA from 1 species